UACGUAGGUGACCAGCGUUGUCCGGAAUUAUUGGGCGUAAAGAGCUCGUAGGCGGUUUGUCGCGUCUGCUGUGAAAUCCCGAGGCUCAACCUCGGGUCUGCAGUGGGUACGGGCAGACUGGAGUGCGGUAGGGGAGAAUGGAAUUCCUGGUGUAGCGGUGGAAUGCGCAGAUAUCAGGAGGAACACCGAUGGCGAAGGCAGUUCUCUGGGCCGUAACUGACGCUGAGGAGCGAAAGCGUGGGGAGCGAACAGG
rnacentral:rRNA from 1 species